UGGGGAAUAUUGGACAAUGGGCGAAAGCCUGAUCCAGCCAUGCCGCGUGUGUGAAGAAGGUCUUCGGAUUGUAAAGCACUUUAAGUUGGGAGGAAGGGUUGUAGCUUAAUACGCUGCAACCUUGACGUUACCAACAGAAUAAGCACCGGCUAACUCUGUGCCAGCAGCCGCGGUAAUACAGAGGGUGCAAGCGUUAAUCGGAAUUACUGGGCGUAAAGCGCGCGUAGGCGGCUUGAUAAGAUGGGUGUGAAAUCCCCGGGCUUAACCUGGGAACUGCAUCCAUAACUGUCUGGCUAGAGUACAGUAGAGGGUGGUGGAAUUUCCUGUGUAGCGGUGAAAUGCGUAGAUAUAGGAAGGAACACCAGUGGCGAAGGCGACCACCUGG
rnacentral:rRNA from 1 species